GUCGCUUUUGUCCUCUGUUUGUCCUUCCGCCUCGCUCCAGCCGCCGCCUCUCGUCCUCUGUUCCUCGUUCCGCCUCGCCGCUGCCCUGCUUCUGUCUCCGUUCCGUACUUGCCAUCGCCGCUCCCCGUUGCUCUUCAUCACCAUCGCCUUGCCUGUUGCCUGCUUGCCGCGUCGCCGCUGGUGCCUGCGGCUGCUUUGUCGUGCGUCCGUGCGGCUGUUUCUUCCUUCUUUCCGAGGUGGUUGUUGGUUGAGUGUGAGCGUUGUAGUCCUUCAUCGAUCUCUGAUCUUGUUCGUCAAUGAAUUCUGCGCCUGUCACCAUCACCUAGAAAUAGCACUAAUCAGUUCGUCCUCAGAUUUGCCUUGCUGUUUCAUCUGCUCAAAGGAUCAUCUUUCUCUUCAGAGAUUCUGAGAGAGAAUGUUAUGUGCCGAGGCUGAGUCGCGGACGGCGGCGGGGCGCGAUCUGGCGGCGCGGCGACCGGAUGUGGUCUGGAAAAUCGGUGGGGCGUCGCCGUGCGGUGCUGGUGGUGGUGUUGUCGAUGUGGGGAUGGCGCUCCGCGGCCCGGAUGCCGCGUUCGUCCUUCCCAUGCGGUUCCCUUGUACGCCUUAUUCGUCAUCGACCGCAUGGUAUACAAGGAACACCUGGCGGUGUCUAGCACGUUGGUAAGCUUGACGACAACUGUUACCGGGGCAAUGAGGUGAAGCUCUAUGAGCACCAAGUAGACACUCUCUUUGCUAUGUUUCGGCACAAAAAGCCGGACAUCAACUACCAUGUGUGCACAAUCAACAAGACGUUUGCCAAACCAGGCCAGCGCAUGAUAUGCUCAAAUGCACGUCCUAUUCAAUGUUUACUAACGUCAUAAUACAGCAAAUUGUAUCUCCAUACUGUACAACUCCCACUUCUAAACGAGUUUAAAUUUAUCUUGUCAACACCACUACUAAUGCUUUAAUGGCAUGCGCACACUGUAUAUGAAAAUGACAAAAUUGCCUUCUGUAAGCCCAAUUUUCUUUCAUCGCCAUUCUUUCCCACUUUCAUACUUUCUUAUACUCACUGAGAUUCAUUCAACUCACAUUUACAAUAUUACUCUGUAGUCGACCAUUUACUUACAAGCACAUUUACUUUUACUUCUUCAUGUUCCUUUACUGCUCCACUCUUUUCAUGUGCUUCACCAGCCAUUUUACAGAAUAUACAAUGCCCUUUUGUUAUGCAUUUUAGUUACCUUAACAGCUAUAAGUUUGUGCUAAUAUAAACGGAACUUGCAUACAGAUUUUCCUAUUUAUACUAUUGUUCUAUCCAUCCUUAAGAUAAAAAAUAAUACAAGUUUUAGAGUGGUUGGGCUUUUUUAGAACCGUUCGUUGAUGUCGAUCUAACGGCAGACAAAUACGAAGUACUGGGUAGUACUCCGAUGAAAGUACGCGAAAGUACUAAAACGAGUGGGGCCGAUACUCGUGACAAGGUGGGGACGCGUUUUAAUCUAGGGGGAGUUUAGUCCUAGGAAAAUUUGCACGCGCCGCCCCUCUCGUCGAAUGAAUAAUCGCCGCCAUGGUGCUACACAUUCCACAAUUACUCAUCGGCGGCCAUCUCCUCCCUCUCCUCCAUGUCCACCGCAGUCAUCUCCUCCUUCUUGCCGCUGCAACUUCGCUCCACUCAGGCAACCCCCCCACCCCCCCUCUUCCACGGCAGAUCGAGCUGAUGGCCGGCGGCGAGAACACCGACUUCGUGCAGAUCGCCGGCGGCGACCAGGUCAAGUUGGCCAGGUUGAGGGAGAUCCGUUCUUGGUUUGACAACACAAGGCAGAUGAGCUGGACGGCAAUGGCCACUCUCAAGAAUUUGACGAAGAAGGAGAGGGCAAAGCUUUUCCCCCAGCCCGCGCAACCGAUUCAGAAGAUCGAGAUCCUCCUCUGGGCGAUGGAGUAGGCCAAUUCGUCCAGCGAGUGGACCAGGCAGAGGUGGUGGGCGUUCAGAUCCAGGGUAGAGCAUCCACUGGAUCAGGAACCCACCGUGCACGAGGUGCCGUUGCAGAUUGUGCAGCCUCCAACCGAGUCACCGGAGACUUCGAAGCGCAAGAUGAGGAGGACAAUGGUCGCGACCUCGCUUCCCCGCCGUUCUCCACGCUUCCCUCGCCGCUCUCCUCGUCUGAACGGCGGCGGUAGCUAUGUUUAGAGAAAAAACCUGGAGUUCACCAGGCUGGCUGAAGUUGUGAGGCUGGGAGGCUGAUGGUGCUGCUACUGGCUGAUCCUUCUUCUUUCAGUUUUUGUUCGUCAUGUCUCAAGCCAUUGGACCAGGGCUACUUCCCUAUGUGCUGUUAAUGUAUUAAGUAUUUCCUUCGAAUUUGUAGUAUUAGUUAGUUUGAAUGUGGAAGUACCUUAAUUUUUAGGAACGAAAUGUUGCUAUGUAUGACCAAGGGUUUCAUACCUUAAUCUUUGGAUAAUUAAUUAUGUGAACUAUUGGAUGUGGCGCAUAACGAAACGCCUCUACCAUUGA